rnacentral:rRNA from 1 species
AAUGAACGCUGGCGGCAGGCCUAACACAUGCAAGUCGAACGGAUCCCUCGGGAUUAGUGGCGGACGGGUGAGUAACGCGUGGGAACAUACCCUUUGGUACGGAAUAGCCUCGGGAAACUGGGAGUAAUACCGUAUGUGGUCGAGAGACGAAAGAUUUAUCGCCAAAGGAUUGGCCCGCGUUGGAUUAGGUAGUUGGUGGGGUAAUGGCCUACCAAGCUGACGAUCCAUAGCUGGUUUGAGAGGAUGAUCAGCCACACUGGGACUGAGACACGGCCCAGAGUCCUACGGGAGGCAGCAGUGGGGAAUCUUAGACAAUGGGGGAAACCCUGAUCUAGCCAUGCCGCGUGAUCGAUGAAGGCCUUAGGGUUGUAAAGAUCUUUCAGGUGGGAAGAUAAUGACUGUACCACCAGAAGAAGCCCCGGCUAACUCCGUGCCAGCCGCCGCCGUAA